rnacentral:rRNA from 1 species
GAUGAACGCUGGCGGCGUGCCUAGUACAUGCAAGUCGAGCGAACAGACGAGGAGCUUGCUCCUCUGACGUUAGCGGCGGACGGGUGAGUAACACGUGGAUAACCUACCUAUAAGACUGGGAUAACUUCGGGAAACCGGAGCUAAUACCGGAUAAUAUAUUGAACCGCAUGGUUCAAUAGUGAAAGACGGUUUUGCUGUCACUUAUAGAUGGAUCCGCGCCGCAUUAGCUAGUUGGUAAGGUAACGGCUUACCAAGGCAACGAUGCGUAGCCGACCUGAGAGGGUGAUCGGCCACACCGGAACUGAGACACGGUCCAGACUCCUACGGGAGGCAGCAGUAGGGAAUCUUCCGCAAUGGGCGAAAGCUUGACGGAGCAACGCCGCGUGAGUGAUGAAGGUCUUCGGAUCGUAAAACUCUGUUAUUAGGGAAGAACAAAUGUGUAAGUAACUAUGCACGUCUUGACGGUACCUAAUCAGAAAGCCACGGCUAACUACGUG